rnacentral:rRNA from 1 species
AACGAACGCUGGCGGCAGGCUUAACACAUGCAAGUCGAACGCCCCGCAAGGGGAGUGGCAGACGGGUGAGUAACGCGUGGGAAUCUACCCAGUUCUACGGAACAACUGAGGGAAACUUCAGCUAAUACCGUAUACGCCCUACGGGGAAGAUUAUCGGAAUUGGAUGAGCCCGCGUUGGAUUAGCUAGUUGGUGAGGUAACGGCUCACCAAGGCGACGAUCCAUAGCUGGUCUGAGAGGAUGAUCAGCCACACUGGGACUGAGACACGGCCCAGACUCCUACGGGAGGCAGCAGUGGGGAAUAUUGGACAAUGGGCGCAAGCCUGAUCCAGCCAUGCCGCGUGAGUGAUGAAGGCCUUAGGGUUGUAAAGCUCUUUCAGUGGGGACGAUAAUGACGGUACCCACAGAAGAAGCCCCGGCUAACUUCGUG